GGUUCAGAGGCGGCUACGAGCACCGUGACUCCAAGUAGGGAGUGAGCUCGUGUUGGUACCUUUUUGGCUGGGCCUCGAGUGUUUUCUUUUCAGGUGCGUGACGGCACGCGGGUCCACUGCAGAGUCUAGACUGGAGUUGUGUAUAUAGUGGUCUAGCUUUUUGACUCUUUUGAUUAUGUGCCUAUUUUUGGAGCUUGUAUAUGUUGUAAAUACCCGUGGGCACGUCUUGUAUGACAGUUGUUUCCGUAUAUAUGCAAGUUAAGUUUUUUUUUUU